UACGUAGGGUGCAAGCGUUGUCCGGAAUUAUUGGGCGUAAAGAGCUCGUAGGCGGUCUGUCGCGUCUGCUGUGAAAACUCGGGGCUUAACCCCGGGCCUGCAGUGGGUACGGGCAGACUAGAGUGCGGUAGGGGAGAAUGGAAUUCCCGGUGUAGCGGUGAAAUGCGCAGAUAUCGGGAGGAACACCGGUGGCGAAGGCGGUUCUCUGGGCCUGACC
rnacentral:rRNA from 1 species